rnacentral:lncRNA from 1 species
UCCCCCACAUCCCAGCAGCUCCACGAUCCGAGGCCUUUCCAGGUGCUGAUCCCAGCUCCUUCUGUUCCCAGUGCCCCCCGCAGCCACCGAGGCCAUCAGGACGAGCCUGCCCGAGAGCCCCACGGCGGCAGCAGCCCCUGGAAGCGUUCCUGCUGCAGCCUCAGCACUCCCAGGAGAGGCUGCAGCCACGGAUGGACCAAAAGCUGCAGCUCCAGGUGCAGCCUCCGUUCCCGCCGCCGACGCCGCGUCCCUUCCCGCAGAGAAGGUUGGGGCUGUCCCUGCUGGAGACACCAAACCUCCCCAGAGCCCUGCAGCAGCAGCCAACCCUUUCCAGACCACAGCUGGGGGCUUUUCUCCUGCACCUGAAGCCAGCCCUGCCAAAGGUGUCAAUGACGUGUCCGCCCCGGGGACAGAGCUCGGCUUCGCCCCGGCAGCAGAUGCUGGAUUCCACCACGGGGUGGAUUUGGGGCUUGCUCCAGCAGCAGGUGUGGAGUCCCACCAGGCCAUGGAUUUGGGAUUUGCCCCAGCAGCAGGUAUGGAGUCCCACCAAGCCAUGGAUUUUGGAUUUUCCUCAGCAGCAGGUGUGGAGUCCCACCAGAACAUGGAUUUGGAGUUUGCUCCAGCAGCAGGUGUGGAAUCCCACCAGAACAUGGAUUUGGGGUUUGCUCCAGCAGCAGGUGUGGAAUCUCACCAGGCCAUGGAUUUGGGGUUUGCCCCGGCAGCAGGUGUGGAAUCCCACCAGGCCAUGGAUUUGGGGUUUGCCCCGGCAGCAGAUGUGGAAUCCCACCAGGCCAUGGAUUUGGGGUUUGCCCCGGCAGCAGAUGUGGAACCUCACCAUACCUUGGAUUUGGGAUUUGCUCCAGCAGCAGAUAACAAAGCUCAGGAUGUUAUGGGAUCUGAGUUUGGCCCAGCAGCAGAUGCAGAGUUUGCUCCAGCAGCAGAAGUCAACCAUCACCAUGGCCUGGAUUCGGGGUUUGCUCCUGCAGCUCCAGCCAAGCCUGGCCCUGCUGUGGAUGGUGGGAGCGUGGCAGUGGAAGCUCAGCCUGGCCCCGUAGCUGCCCCCAGGAUUGCUGUGUCUGGGGAGCUGCUGACAUCUGAGGCUGCCCUUCAGCAGGACAAGCCUCCUGCAGAAACAACAGCGAAGGUGGAGGCGGAAUCCAAAAUCCCAGAAGUUUGUGUGGAUCACUCGGAGAAGAUGAAGGAUGGGAAACCUCCCCCGAGCCCCCGGGAGGAGGAAAUUCCUGGGAAAACCAAGCAGCAGCUGGAGGCAGCAGCUGAAGCAAAAGGAGCACUAGAAAAUAGAGACCUUCCAGAAAAAUCUGCUCCUGCUGAGGAUGGUGAGACACAGCAGGAGGAGGCUGAGCACAACCACGUCCAACAUGCAGAACCUCAGGAGGAGAAAACCCUGCAGGAGCCCACAGGUCUUCCCACUGCACAAGUCAGGCAAGCUCCCAAAUCCAGGGACCGUGGGUUUGGCAGAGCAAAACCUGCCCCAGUGCCUCUCACAGAUGUGCCAGAGGAGCAUCCUGUAGGUCUCCCACAGCAGAAGAGUCCUGAGCCCAGAGCAGACCCCUGUUCCACAGUGGAGCUUGGCUGUGGUGCUGGAGCAUCCCCUCGCUUUAGGGUUCCUCACAAAAAGGCCACCAAUGUCCCCACGGAGCCUCUGGAGAGCUGCAGAGAUGCCCCCCAGGAAAACUGGGAUUUGGAAGGUGCCAUGGUGAAGAAAAAGAAAAAGAAACCAAAGCAAAGGAGGAACCAGCUGCCAAGAGGGAUGGAGUUCUGGGAUGAGAACGGAACCUCCAGAGGUGCCAGGAGCUCUCCCUUUGGGGUGGAGUGGCAGAACCCAGGCACGUGUCCCAGAACACCCUCAGGAAGCAGAGCUCUGGAUGUGCCACAGGAUGUUAAAAUAACAACUGGGGGUCAUAUCCUGGAGGAGCAAAACACCUUCCCAGUGCCAGCCCCAGGAGAGCAGGGCCCAAAAUCCGGAGUGCUGGAUGCCAGACCCAGGGAGGAGAUGGAGACAGAGGGAAGGAGAGGUGACAGCUCCAUGCUGGAAUCCAAGGGCAAGAGCAAAGAGGUUCCCUCAGAGCACGUGGGCAACACUGAGCUGGAGGAAUCUGCUGCAGCCAAGGGACCCACCAAGGCCACAGAGAGAGAUUUCCCCAAGAAAAAUGAGAAGAGGGAGGGCAAAGAGUCAAAAGGUGCCGAGCUGAAGGCCAAUCUGAGCGAAGCAGAAGCUCCCUUACAGACCAGCCCUUUGGAAUUGCCCCUUGGCCAUAAAAACAAGGAGCCCCAAACCCCAUCUCCAGGGCAGGAAGCACCCGGUGACUCCAUCCAUCAGCCUUCCCCGGAAACAGCAGCCAGGAAAAGCUGGGAAAAAAGCAAAGGGCUUGAAAGGGAAUCCCUCAAACAGGCUGCAGCCAUGGAGGAAAAGCUCCCUACAGAGCCAAAGGCAGCUGGAGAAAGUCAGAGAGGGUCAGAGGGAGGACUGAGGAGCCCAGCAGCUCCUGGAGCUCCUGUUCCACUUUCACCAAAAGCUGGGCAAGUUCCAGCUGGGCAGGGCAGAGGAGCCCAGGGUGCUCCCAAACAUCCCAGCCCCGGCCUGGCAGAGGGCAGGGGGGUGGCAGCAGAUCCCCCAGACCCAAACCAAGGGAAAGGAGUCCCUGCUUCUGAGCAGCAGGCUGGGAAAGACCCCAGUCUGACCCACGGGAUGGACAGGCCUAAAAAAAAGCGCAGCGAAGGGAAAGGCAAAAGAAUGAAAAGCUGCUGGGAGCAGGUGAUGCUCUCGGAGGAUGGAGGAAAAUUCACUGAAGGAGGGAGGACAGAUGAGGCUGGGAAGGAAACGGUUUGUCCUGAAAAUGGCCAGGGUGUUCCUGGCAGAGGACACCCACCAGGCAGUGCUGCACAGGCCUGUCCUGCAGACAAGCCCAAAAAAAGAGGCAGCGAUGGAAGGAGCAAAAAAGGAGAAAGGAGCUUUUUCCAGCAGCCUUGCCUUGAGAAUAAGGUGGACUCAGGGAGUUUUCCUGAGGCAGCUGAUAAGGUGAAAGAGGGCAGUGAUAAGGGCAGAGAGCAGGGCUGUGUCCCUGCUGGGGUCUUGCAGGAAAAUGCAGCUAAAAUGCAAAGGCCAAUUGAGCUGGCACCGGAGAAACAGAAAGAAAAUGUUGGGAAUGGUGAAACAGCUGAUUUGGGAGCUUUAGACCAAGCUUUGCUGCUGGAGAAGAGCAGAGAGGGAGCCAAAACUCCUGCUCUGGCUGCCACCAUCAGCCCCUCAGAGCAGGUGGGUUUGGCUGGGAAAGGCAGGGAGGCUGGAGGUGCUGGGCUCAGCUCAGAUGUGCCGCUGCUGGCAGAGAAACCCAGGAAGAGGAGCAGUGAUGGGAGAAGGAAACAGCCUGAGAAAAGCCCCUCUAGGCAGGCAGCUCUCCUGGGGGCUGGGGGGGAAGCCAGGCAGGAGCAGGUGGCUGGAGGCAGGAAGGAAACGAGCUUGGCUAAGGAGAAGGGCUCUGGUUUGCAAAGAGAUGGGCUGCAGGAGGAGCUGGGCAAGCCCAAAAGCCAGGGUGGCACUGGGAGCUUCUCUGAGCAGCCAAAUCUUUCAGGCCAGAAAACAGAGACUUCAGAGCCAGAAAUAAAGAAAGGAAACUUGGAAAGUAAGGAAACUUGGCCUGGGAAUAAAGGGAAGGAAGCAGGUAAAUCCCAGCCUCUCCCAGAGCACAGGGCAGGGAUGCAGAGUCCCACCAGGGAACCGGGCACGGACAAGCCCAAGGGGAAAAGCAGAGAUGGGAAAGGCAAAAGGGCUGAGCACAGUCCUGAGCUGCAGCCAGGUGACAUCUCUGCAGUGGGACAUGUUCAACAAACCCAGUCUGAGAAGGGCAGAGAGAAUUCCAGGAGUCCAGAGGUGCUGCUGGCUCACCUGCCUGAUCCUGCCAAGGUACAGGCUCCUGCUUUGCCUCUGGAGCCAGGGAAGGCACACACAGGUGGUGAAGAGAAACACAAAAAGGGGGAGCCUGACCCACAGCAGCCUUUUCUGCUGGAGCAUAAAGCAGGAGCAGGGAUGUUCCCUCCUGCUGGCCUGGAGAUCAGGGACAAACCUGAGGCAGGAGGUGUCAGUCCUUGCAGCAGGAAUAAAAAUCAUUUUGCAGAGCAUCCAGCAGUGUCGGAUCCCAGCCUGGCCCCAGUCACUGAGAGAUCUAAAAAGAGGGGCUAUGAUGGAAGCAGUAAAAAGGCUAAAAAUGCCUCCAGGCAGCCUGUUCCUCUAGAGGCAGAACCAGACAGGAGUGAAGCACAGCCUGCUGUAGGAUCUGGGCUGGAAGGUGGGGUGGAAGACACAGAUCUCAUAGAUGAAAACAGAAACAUUAAAAACUUUCCCACUGGCCCUCAAAAACUUGGGAAUAAUAAAGGAAGUGACUUCAAAUCCAUGUCUCAGAGCCCAGCAAGUGGCCCUGGUGAUGGGGGUGAUGCUCCCUGUGGCCUCCCAAAGCAAGGAGAGCAGGGUGCAGGGACUGGGGGCCUUCCUCCUCAUCCUCCUCCUCCUCCUCCUCCUCUGGAAGCAGUGGCAGAGGAAAGCAGCAAAGAGCUUGGACCUGGCGCUAAGAAGGAGAUGCAGACCCAAAAAUCUCGUGAGCAGCCCAAAGAACCUGGAAAAGAGGUUUCCCAGAAAGAUGGGAAGAGCAGAGAGGCUGGCUCCCAGGGUGGCCAGCCCGAGGACAAAAGUCACCUUUGUCCUGUGGCAAAGGUGAAUGACAAAGAAAUCAAACCCACCCAUAAAAAGCACAACACUGCCAAGGCUCCCUCAGAGCUUCCUCACGAGGCAGCAGGUCCAAAACACAGAGCAGCCUCUGGAGCUGCUGAGGGGACAGGGGGACCAGAGGCCACCGUGUCCUGUGCAGAGGAGGGCACAGGGAGGUCCCCAGCCCCUGCAGGGACACCUGGCAGCACAGGAAGGUCCCCAGCCCCUGCAGGGACACCUGGCAGCACAGGAAGGUCCCCAGCCCCUGCAGCCGUGUCCCAGGCUGUGCCAGCAGCUGGGAAGGACAGGAAGGAUGGAGAGGCUGAGCAGGGCAGGGACACCAGGAGUGAGCAGAGCUCACCCCAACACCAGGGCACUGAGCCUGAGGCUGCUGGGACAGCUGCCCAAACUACCCAAAAACAGCUCAAAGAGAACAAAAAAGGUUCCUGUCAGCCUGCAGAGGAGGGCCCUGCUCUCCUGAAGGAUGAUGCUCCUCGUGCUGGGGAGGUUCUGAAGGACACUCCGGUGUCAGAGGUGGAUAAACCUCAAGCCAAAACCAAAGAAAAGGAGUCUCAGGAUACAAAUAAAGAAAGAAAAACUCACGAGACAACUAGAGAAAAGGAAUCUCAAGACAUAACCAAAGAGAGCGAAUCUCAAGAAGUAACUAAAGAAAAGGAGUCUCAGGACACAGCUAAAGAAAAGCAAUCUCUAGAAAUAACUAAAGAAAAGGAAUAUCAGGACACAACUAAACAAAAUGAAUCUCAGGACACAGCUAAACAAAAGGAAUCUCAAGAAGUAACUAAAGAAAAGGAAUCUCAGGACACAGCUAAACAAAAGGAAUCUCAAGAAAUAACUAAAGGAAAAGAAUCUCAAGACACAGCCAAAGGAAAGGAAUCUCAAGAAAUAACUAAAGAAAAGGAAUCUCAAGCCUCAGCUAAAGAGACAGAAGAAGAACAUGAACAGAAAGCAGUGAAGGAGGCAAGGAAAGAGAGAGUGAAGGCAGCAGAGCAGCUCAAGGGCUACAUGAGACCCACCAAGGCCCGAGGGGUGCCAGCCCUGGUGCCAGCCCUGGUGGCCAGAGCCGUGCCCCGGCGGCCGGACAGAGGUGUGUGUGUGUGCCAGGGCCUGCCACGAGUGUGUGUGCCAGGGCCUGGCCUGGCAUGAGCCCCAGCGGGCAUCCC